rnacentral:rRNA from 1 species
GCACCACAACAGGUGGAGCCUGCGGUUUAAUCGGACUCAACGCCGGGAAACUCACCAGAUAAGACAGCUGAAUGAUAGUCGGGCUGAAGACUCUACUUGACUAGCUGAGAGGAGGUGCAUGGCCGUCGUCAGUUCGUACUGUGAAGCAUCCUGUUAAGUCAGGCAGCGAGCGAGACCCACGCCAACAGUUGCCAGCUCGUCCUCCGGGAUGGUGGGGACACUGUUGGGACCGCCUCUGCUAAAGAGGAGGAAGGAAUGGGCAACGGUAGGUCAGCAUGCCCCGAAUUAUCUGGGCUACACGCGGGCUACAAUGGGUGGGACAAUGGGUAUCGACACCGAAAGGUGAAGGCAAUCUCCUAAACCCAUCCGUAGUUCGGAUUGUGGGCUGCAACUCGCCCACAUGAAGCUGGAAUCUGUAGUAAUCGUGUCUCAAAAUGGCACGGUGAAUAUGUCCCUGCUCCUU